rnacentral:rRNA from 1 species
CCUACGGGGGGCAGCAGUGGGGAAUCUUGCGCAAUGGGCGAAAGCCUGACGCAGCGACGCCGCGUGCGGGAUGAAGGCCUUCGGGUUGUAAACCGCUUUCAGCAGGGACGAUUGUGACGGUACCUGCAGAAGAAGCCCCGGCCAACUACGUGCCAGCAGCCGCGGUAAUACGUAGGGGGCGAGCGUUGUCCGGAUUUAUUGGGCGUAAAGAGCUCGUAGGCGGUUCGGUAAGUCGGGUGUGAAAUCUCCACGCUCAACGUGGAGGGGCCACUCGAUACUGCCGUGACUCGAGUCCGGUAGAGGAGUGUGGAAUUCCCGGUGUAGCGGUGAAAUGCGCAGAUAUCGGGAGGAACACCAGUAGCGAAGGCGGCACUCUGGGCCGGAACUGACGCUGAGGAGCGAAAGCGUGGGGAGCAAACAGGAUUAGAUACCCUUGUAGU